AUACGGAGGAUCCGAGCGUUAUCCGGAUUUAUUGGGUUUAAAGGGUGCGCAGGCGGCCAUUUAAGUCAGCGGUUAAAUCGUGGGGCUCAACCCCAUUCUGCCGUUGAUACUGGGUGGCUUGAUUGCGGUCGAGGUUGGCGGAAUUCGUUGUGUAGCGGUGAAAUGCAUAGAUAUGACGAAGAACACCGAUUGUGUAGGCAGCUGACCAGAUCGCAAAUGACGCUCAUGCACGAAAGUGCGGGGAUCGAACAGGAUUAGAUACCCUGGUAGUCCGCACAGUAAACGAUGAAUACUUGUUUUCGGCGAUAUAAUGUCGGAGGCAAAGCGAAAGCGAUAAGUAUUCCACCUGGGGAGUACGCCGGCAACGGUGAAACUCAAAGGAAUUGACGGGG
rnacentral:rRNA from 1 species